rnacentral:rRNA from 1 species
AUUGAACGCUGGCGGAAUGCUUUACACAUGCAAGUCGAGCGGCAGCGCGGGGCAACCUGGCGGCGAGCGGCGAACGGGUGAGUAAUGCAUCGGAACAUGUCCAUGUCGUGGGGGAUAGCCCGGCGAAAGCCGGAUUAAUACCGCAUACGCUCGAGAGAGGAAAGCCGGGGACCGCAAGGCCUGGCGCGAUUGGGUUGGCCGAUGUCCGAUUAGCUAGUUGGUGAGGUAAAGGCUUACCAAGGCGAUGAUCGGUAGCUGGUCUGAGAGGAUGAUCAGCCACACUGGGACUGAGACACGGCCCAGACUCCUACGGGAGGCAGCAGUGGGGAAUUUUGGACAAUGGGGGCAACCCUGAUCCAGCCAUUCCGCGUGAGUGAAGAAGGCCUUCGGGUUGUAAAGCUCUUUUGUCCGGAGCGAAACGGUUGUGGUGAAUAUCCACGACUACUGACGGUACCGGAAGAAUAAGCACCGGCUAACUACGUGCCAGCAGCCGCAGUAAUAC